UUUUCUUCAAGAAUCUUGUAGCAAUGGCAUAAAUUCUGAGAAUUCAUUCUGUUUUUCUUCACUCUAAGUGCAUGUCAUAAGGACAAUGAAUUGAAUUGGAAAACUUCUAGUUCAUGUCUCUUAGCAUUCAUUUCACCUUUCCUUAUUUAGGUCUAUGGUAAAGCUGAGAAUCUGAUUGCUACAAAUCCCUUGUGCAUUCAGUCUUGAACUGAGAAGCUGAUUUUUCAGCAAGCAGUCACAGUUGUGUAUCCCUUUUUGAUGAGCUGCAAUGUAGGAAAACAUAUGUUGUGGAAUAAUAGCUAAAACUGUGCAUUAUCUAUUCAAAGACUUUCAGUGGUCUAGUUGCUGCUGUAAAUGUGCUAAAUAAAAGUACUAAAAGUGAAAAGUGAAAAAUUAUCUACAAAUGAAAAAAAAAACCCAAAUACUUACAUGUAAAAUGCUUUAACCAUUUCUUAAUAUCUGCUCAAUACUUUCAUUAUAUUCUAAUGAUAAUAUUCUAUGAUAAUAUUAUGAUAAUAUUCUAGUAAUACUAAUCAUUUUUUUAGUAAGUUAAGACUUGUAUAUUUAUCUCUGAUUAUAUCUGGUUAGUCUAUAUGUAGUUCUUAGAGUAACCUUAGAUGAUCAUACAUUAGUUUCUUUGCCCGUUGCCCUUUAGUAAAAUAUCAUUUAUCAGGACUUACUUUUUAAAAAAUUGUUUUUAUUCUAGUGAAUAUCUACAUUACUCUAUCAUAUUUCCUUUUUUACUCUUUGGUACAUCAUUGUCACUGCUUUCUUUGAAUAUGACAUUUGUUUCGUUGAGUUUGAAACAUCUAAUUUUUUUUCCCAUGGCACAAAAGAAUGCUAAAUUAAAUCUUCAUAAAUUUAAAAGUGUCCUUCUUUGACAUUAGAAACUUUUAUGUACUUUCAAGGAAGCUAAAUAAAAUACCAUCAGUAUGUUCCUUUUCUUUUUUCAUAUUCCUGUGAGCAAAACACCUGCUUGUCUGGAUUACUGUGUAUAUACUACUGGUGAGGAAACAGUGUGAAAUACUGAGCCAUAUUAAUGAUGAUAGGAAAAUAAACAGGGAUAGUAUCCAUGUUAAGUUAUUUCCUCAUCCAGAAAGGUAUUAUGAUUAGAUUAUUCAUAUAGGUAAGGACUAGAUUGAAAAAUUAGAUAUAUAAAUAUGGUUUCAAAAUACAGACUGUUCAGCAUUGACUAUUCUCAGCUGAAUCAUGUAUAUUAAUACACAAUCUGGAAAAUGAAAAUUUUGAUACAGCUAUAUAUUUACAUAAAAACGUUGAUGUUCCAGCCUAAUAGCUUAUAAUGAAUGACUUGCUUUAGAACAUCAAAAUAAUAACCAGAUACUGACAACAGACAGUUCAAGUUAGAUAUGAAUGGAUGUGUACGUAUACACUAACUCAUUCAUUUUUUUAUUAUUUUAUUCUUUGCACAUGCUGGAUAUCUAUUUGACCAAAGACUAGCAUUCUGACAGACUAGGAAGCUAAGAUCUUGGUUUUGUCUGCUUUGUUCUAAUAGGGAUUUACACGGUGAAUUUUCUAAUUGCAAACCAAACCUGUUCUUUGACUGGACAUUGUAAAAGUCAUUGACACAUUUCUGGGAUGGAGAAAUCCUUCAUGCAAGGCGGAAUUUCCAAGAGAAAAAUAAUUUAAAUCAAGAUAGUAUUGGACAUUAGGAUAAUGCUUUUAAGGUACGUCCAUGUUAGUUAUAAUAUAGGAUUUCUUGUAAUAUGUAGUUCAUAACUUCAUUGCGUAGUAUUUUAAGGUGGACAAGUUCAGUGCUUGAAAUAAAUAUCAGGGAUUGAUUUUGCACUAAUGAUAUAAAUGUCAUAGCAAUUAUUUAGGUCUCUUUCUCUUUUUUUCUAUGAGUUAAUAUUAGUUUAUCUUUCAAAAUUAUGUGGGCAAAGGCAUCUUGGACAUACAGGAAUGUUUUAUAUGUAUUCAUUCAAAACUAUGAAGCCAUAGUUUGCAACUUUUGUGCAAGUUUCAUGGAGUAAAAAUAAUUCUAUUUUUAGAAAUUUAAAUUUCUCUCAAUUCUUCUGUGUUCAAUUUUGUGGUGACUGAAGUUAAGUGAUGGUCUUAAAACAGACACUGGAAUAUAAUAUAUGCCAUGACACUGUACACAUCUAUUUAAAUUGCAAGAAGCAACAAAAAUGAAGUUUUGUACUCAAGUUUUAACUCUAGCUCAAAGUGAAGUUUUUUACUGGUAGUUUAUGUGAGCUUUGUCUUUCAAUCCCAUGUCUAUCACACUCUGCAAUGACCUGCAACAUAGUGACUAUUUAGGAUCGUCACCCAACUAACCAUAACAAGUUAUUAUACAUGCAAAUAGAGCAACUUAAAUUUAAUGGCUUACUCGUAUGUUAGUCCACAUAAAAAAAUCAGCAGUUAAAUGUUCUCUUUAGUUUACAUCAGUAGAAGAUUAGAGUGUGAAGUGCUCAUAAAAGCAAUGGUAAUGGGCAAGAUAAAAGGCUUGUCUAAUUUCACAUACAGUGUUAGACAGUGGCCAAUUUCAAUAAUUAAUUAAUACUUUGUCACAUCACAGCUUCUGACACCCUGUAGCUUAGGACUUUAUGAACUGGAGUUUGUCUCCUCAUCCUUAUAUUUGAUAUCACUUAACAACUGCAACAAGUUAUAUUGGUACAGCAUGUGUUGCUGAAUUUUUUUGCUGAAGAAUUUAGAAAACAAGUACUGUAAGUGAUUGAUGCCAAUUCCUAAAUUUAUUUUCUGAGUCCUUUGCUUAGCAUUAGAGUUUCAGAAACUUCGCAUGAGACUAAACUGAAAGAGAUAGAAAUGAAAAGAACCAUUUUAUUCUGACACUGCAGAAGUAAUGAAUAUGUAAGUGAAUGGUCACAGAAGUAAUGAAUAUGUAAGUGAAUGGUCAGUGAGUAUUCAGCAUCAUGCUAAAAACUUCUGUCCAAAAUAAGAGUAGACAAAUAAUGAAGAGACAACCUCACUCACUCAGUCUCUUUCUAUCUUUCUAAGUGUUUCUCUCAGUGUACUUGGAUUCUACUUAAAGUUCUAGAAACCAUUUUGCCCAAUCAAAUACUCUUGGAAAUGCAUCUCUAAGCAGACAUCUCAGUCUAAAAAGUUGCAGCACCACAUACAUAUUGAAGAGCAAUUCAAAGGAAAGUCAGAGAACAGAAAUCUCAGUGCAGAUGAAUAAUUGCCUAAAUGCAUGCUUCACAGUCUAUUGAAAAGGAUAAAAAUGGGAAAAUUUGAACAAUUUGAGAUAUGGUUUUCAAACUAAUUCAGGGACAAUUCAUCUCAUGAAGAGUACAGUACAAAUGUAUAUCUGUAUUGCUGUACAAUCAAGGGUUUACAGUAAGUUCUAUAUUUAUACAGAUCAUCAAAUGAAAGGGAUAAAAUUAAAAAUCUAAACAUGACUCAGUGUUCCCAUCUGCCAUUUCUAAUCUUUUGUCUUUAAACAGUGGGUGGAAGAUUGCCUUUCAAUUAUUUCCAUAUAUCUUUUUUUUCUUUAUGUAUCCACUUAAACCACCUGAUGCAUUUAGCAUAUCUAAAAAUUUCUUCAAACAUGCACAUAAAAAAGAUGUUUUAUUCUACGUCUUUCAGUCAGAAAUGGCUAGUCUGACAACUUUAUUGUGCAAUCAUUGUUUUGGAUAACCUCUCUAGAAAAAAGAUAAUUGUAACAGCACAACAAACAAUUAUAUCACAUAUAUUUUGAAUAAAUACUAUCUAGUUCUGCAAAAUUUUAAUGCUCUUGAAGUAUUCUGAUCUGCAUGAUGAGCAUAACUAUCAUAAUUAAUGUUCUUGAAAAGAAGAUCCAAAGUAUGAUUUACAAAUGAGAAAAUAAUCUUUUCCCAGUAUUCACUGUGAUAGCAUACAUGAAAGUUGUAGCUGGCAGUAGUGAAUAGUGACUCUGAUAGAAGAAUAAAUGCAAUUAAAUUCAAUAUUAAUUUUGAUUCAUAAAGAUAGAUAUGCUUCAUUAUUUUUGGUUUCAUAGCUACAUUCAGUUAGGAAACUGCAUCCUUACAUCCCCUGGAGAGGAAGUAAGGUUCCUUUACUUAUGUUAUGUGUAGGACAGAAAAUACAGAUGCUUUGUGUGUUAUGGUUACUUAAGUCAAAUCAUUUCACAUGCAAUGUUAUACUUACAAGUACUUUCUGUGUUGUCUUUUCUGAUUUUUAUUCAGAAAUCAGAUUGUCUCCCAACUACUUUCUGUACAACAGAUCAUGCAUACAUAUAGACAUAUAUAUACACAUAUAUACAUAUAUAUAUAUGUAGUUGUAUAUGGAUAAGUUCAGUUUAUGAUUCAGGACUAUAAUUGACUAUAACAUGUAAAUGCUAAAAUUCUUUGUCUAAAACAUCUUGCUUCCCUCAGCCUUUUCCUCUAACUUACAGCAUUCUUUAACCGUAUUACAAAUAUAAAAUCUAAGAAAGUAAGGUCUGUCUUUCUAUCUUUCUCUGUCAGUUUAAGUUCCUUGGCAUACAAGAAGCCAGUGAGGAGCCACUUUGUCUCCAUUUGUUAAAUUAAGUAUAUCGAUCAUGACCUGAACAUAAAUCUCCUAACUUUUCUCUGGUGAUCAUUUCUAAGUACAGUUAAUGUUCUUUGGGCCUAUCUCACAAGAAAUGAGUAACUUUACUUCUUGGCAAUUCUAUCUUUUAAGUGAGUUGUUAUAUAUAACCUAUGGAGACCAUCUGGAAAGACACUAGUUAACAGUAGAAGACUUAGUAGAAUAAAAAGCUGUACUGCAAAUGCAUUUUUAAAAAAGAUAUGCUGACAUAUAAUGUGUAUACACAGUAGUUGAAGUAAUUUUGAGUUUGAAAUAAAUAUUUAAUAAUAUGUUAGUGAGUAGUCCAAGAGACUUGCACUUAGCUUCUCUUUCCAUGUGCUAUAAAAUUUGCCACAUCAGCAGUGUCUUUGUCUACUCUUCAUGUCAUAGCCCAUCUGAGUACUGUUCCAGCAGAUCAAAAUGUUCAUUUAGAUGAUUUCAUACUUUCCAUCUUCAUAUGGAGUAUUGGACCUCCAAUUGGAAGGUUGUGUUACUAAAUUGCUACAGGACAUUCACGGUGUGUUUACAAAUUUGAAGGGCUAAAUUUCUUAUAUGUUCUUAGAAGGAUAUAACGUGAUUCUCUAAUAAUAAGGACUGUGUUGUUACUAGAUCUUCCAGUAAAGUUAUUGUCGCAGUCUUGAAAGAAUAAAUUUCAUUUCUUUAUCAGAAAUCACUAACCUUAUAAAAUUCUUUUUCCAUAAUUUCAUUGAAUCGUAGUCUAUGAAAUCCUCACACUUAACUAUAGUUUCAAGUUGUACAAUACAUUAUCUGUGAGAAUACCUUAACUGAAUAUGUGCAGACGUUACAGCAAAUACCUGAAAAUAUAAAUAGCAACAAGUUUUACUGGUAGUAGAUUUUUUAGCCUUCUGGAUUUAACUCUGUUGCUCAUAAAUAUAGUAAAAUACUGGAUUAGGUAACUCUUCAAAAAUUUCUCUAGGUGUUUUUUUUUUUUUUUUUCUGUGAUUGAAUCUGCUCCUUCUUGAAACCUUAAAAUGAUCGGUUAUGGAGCAUUUGAUAAAUUACUAAGUGUGGCAGAUGUUCCAACCCUUGCUGUAUCAAUAGUUGCAAGUACUGAAAGUGUGUUUUUGUCAGUAAUUGGACAAAACCUGAGGUGAACUUUAAUCUUUUACAGAACUAUGUGAAAACACUUUUAGAAAUGUUAGUAAUCAGAUUAGCCCAAUAUUAAAUAACAUAUCCUGACCCUACUUACCUGAUCUUAAUCCAAAAUCAGGUGAGUUUCAAAGGGCUAAUAUCAUCUAUUUAUGUUCACAUAGUCUAGUCUGUAAUCAAGAUCAAGUUCUAGUUAUAUUAAAUUCUAGUUAUGUCAAUGUCUUAGGUCUAAUUAAAAAAAAAAAAAAAGACAUUGAAAAUCCAGCAAAUCUGUCAUUCAGGGAUGGACUAUUUUAGUCUUCAGUAUGUGUCUCCUACAGGAAUUUAUUUUGUCAUUUGUUGUUGGUUGCUGGGAUGCUACAAAAUUCUGUUUCACUUUUUCACAUCCACUUCUGUUGUAUUUAUAUCAUAAAGAUUUUGAAAAAGCUAUGAUAGUCUUGAUUUAGCACAUUCCUACCUUCAGGCUGCUUUUCUCCAUCUCAGAUGUCCUAGUGAAGUUUUAUAAGUUAGGUUAUAUGAAGUAUUAAAUGUAUAGUAUUACUAGAUUAGCAAUCAUUUCUCCUUGUGAACACCAUAUGAAAACUAGACAUGAUAACACAUAUUGCAAAACAGAAAAGUAUUUUGCAUUUUGACAUAUUCUCUUUUCCCUUAACAUGCACAGAUAGUUUCUAGAUGGACUUACUAUGUGACUCCUACAGAAAGCAAGAAAUUAAGUACUUUGUAGUUAAGCACAUUCUUUUAUUUUGAAUUAUUUUGUUCUUUAAAAAAUAUAUAAUGUAAAUUAUGGUGGCUUUUUUGUUCAUUUGUUUGUUUGUUUGUUUUUUAAUAUUACCAGCAAUGAACGAAAUGUAAGAUUUUUAGAUUUCUGCAUGGACUUACUGAAAGCAUUAAAAAACCUUAAUUGCUGGUCUACAUAGCAAUAUUAUCAUUACAGAACACAGCUGGCCUUUGAAAAUAUGUGGACAACCUAAUGUUCCAACUUGUAUGUUAUAUCACUGUUCAAACAUUGAUUUGUUUGAUUGGGUAGGGUAUCUUUAUAGAAUAUGGUAACAGUUGCACUUCAAAGCUGCUUAGUAAGGUGAUGUCUAACUAUUGUGACUCUUGAACAUAAUAUUUAGGAAGUAAGUG
ensembl:lncRNA